UUACACCUUACAAAAAAAAUCAUGAUACAAAAAUGGCUUUUCUAAGGGAAGGCUCAUCCAUUGCACUUUGGGUAUGUUGCUAAUCCCUGUGAUUUCCCCAAAUGUGGGGAACUCAACUGUAUAAUUUAUCCUAAUAAAGGGAUUAUAUUUAUGAUUUUCCUAUU
rnacentral:snRNA from 1 species